rnacentral:rRNA from 1 species
AUGUCGUCGCGGCCGUCUUCGUCGUCCUCGUCGAGGCGGAGCAGCUCGCCCUUCUCCGCGGGGAGCCGCCGCCCGCCGACCUCCUCCUCCUCCUCCAGCUCCUACAUGGCCGGGCGGCUCAUCCCCCGCUCCUCCUCCUCCGUCUCCUCGUACGGCGGGGGCGGGGGCUCGAGGUCCACCACCCCCGGACGCCGGUCCGCCCCCGCACCGCCGCCAGCUCCUGCUCCGGUGCCGUUCCCUAGCGCGGACGAGCUCGUCAUUGAGGACACCUCCCGAUCAGGCGACAGCAUCUCCGUCACCAUCCGCUUCCGGCCACUCAGCGAACGGGAGAUCCAGCGCGGCGACGAGAUCACGUGGUAUCCCGAUGGGGAUCGGCUUGUGCGGUGUGACUACGUCCAGCCAUCGGCUUAUGGUUAUGAUAGAGUUUUUGGGCCUUCAACAGCUACAGAGGCUGUCUAUGAUGUUGCUGCUCGGCCUGUUGUGAAGGGUGCUAUGGAGGGCAUAAAUGGGACAGUUUUUGCGUAUGGUGUCACAAGCAGUGGGAAAACCCACACAAUGCAUGGUGACCAGAAUUGUCCUGGAAUAAUCCCAUUAGCCAUCAAGGAUGUCUUCAGCUUAAUACAAGAGACUCCUGGAAGGGAAUUUUUGCUACGUGUAUCAUACCUGGAAAUCUAUAAUGAGGUGAUAAAUGAUCUGCUUGAUCCUACUGGACAAAAUCUGCGUGUGAGGGAGGAUGCACAGGGAACAUAUGUAGAAGGAAUAAAAGAAGAAGUUGUACUUUCUCCAGGACAUGCUCUCUCUUUCAUAGCUGCUGGUGAAGAGCAUCGGCAUGUUGGUUCAAACAACUUCAACUUAUUUAGCAGCCGAAGUCAUACUAUUUUCACUAUGAUGAUUGAAAGCAGUGAUCGUGGUGACGAGUAUGAUGGAGCCAUGUACUCACAGCUUAAUUUGAUUGAUCUAGCUGGCUCAGAGAGUUCUAAGACAGAGACUACGGGGUUAAGAAGAAGGGAAGGAUCUUAUAUUAACAAGAGUCUUUUAACUCUCGGAACAGUUAUCGGGAAGCUCAGUGAAGGGAGAGCAACACAUAUACCCUAUCGAGAUUCUAAGUUGACUCGUCUGCUUCAGUCAUCACUGAGUGGCCAUGGUCACGUCUCACUAAUUUGCACAAUUACCCCAGCAUCGAGUAACAUGGAGGAAACCCAUAAUACAUUGAAAUUUGCAAGCAGAGCAAAACGUGUUGAAAUUUAUGCCUCUCGUAACCGGUUAGUUGAUGAGAAGUCUUUGAUCAAGAAGUAUCAGAGAGAAAUAUCAUCUCUAAAGCAAGAGCUUGAUGAGUUUAGGAGAGGAAUGCUUGGGGGUGCUAGUCAGGAAGAAAUAAUGAUUUUACGGCAACAGUUGGAAGAGGGCCAGGUAAAAAUGCAAUCUCGCCUUGAGGAGGAAGAGGAUGCCAAAGCUGCUCUGAUGAGCAGAAUACAGCGGUUGACCAAGUUAAUACUUGUUUCCACGAAGACCAAUAUUCCUGCUUUGACAGAUUCGUCUCGGCUUCAGCGCCAAAAUUCUGUUAGUGAGGAAGAUAAGUUAAGCUCUUCCCAAGAUAGUACUAUGGUAGUCCAAAAUGACAGUACAUCAAAGGACACCUUAUCAUCUGCUUUGCCUGAUCCGUUGGAUGAGAUCAAUGGACUAAGGUCCGCUAGCGGAGAUCCUUCUUCAGUAACUGGUUCAGGACAAGAUUCAAUGCAGGUGGGAAUCACGGAAUCAGAUCAUUUGGAUCUAUUGAUUGAGCAAGUUAAGAUGCUUGCCGGGGAGAUUGCUUUUGGUACCAGUUCGCUGAAAAGAUUAAUUGAACAAUCCAUAGAAGACCCUGAAGGGACAAAGAAUCAAAUAGAGAAUUUAGAGCAUGAAAUCCAGCAAAAGAGGAGGCAUCUGCGAGCCCUGGAACAAAAAAUCAUGGAAAGCGGUGAGGCAUCAGUUGCUAAUGCUUCUAUGGUGGAUAUGCAGCAGACUAUUACGAAGUUGACAGCUCAAUGCAAUGAGAAGGCUUUUGACUUAGAGUUAAAAUCGGCUGAUAAUCGUGUCCUUCAGGAGCAGCUACAACAGAAGAGUAUGGAAAUCAAUGAUUUACAAGAAAAAGUUCUACGCCUUGAGGCACAGUUCAUACCGAAAACCAACAUAUCCCCUGAACAAUGCACACAUCAGGAGAUUCUUGAUUUGAAAUCCAAACUUCAGUCCAAGGAAGUUGAAACUGAGAAGCUUAAAUACCAGCAUCUGGAAGUGAUUGAAGAAAAUCGAGACCUAAUCAGUCAGAACCACAAAUUAAGUGAGGAAGCUGCUUAUGCAAAAGAAUUGGCAUCUUCUGCAGCUGUUGAGCUUAAGAAUUUGGCUGAAGAAGUUACAAAGCUAUCGAUACAAAAUGCAAGGCAGGCAAAGGAGUUAUUAAUUGCCCAGGAGAUGGCACAUUCCAGGGUUCCUGUUAGAAAGGGGCGCCCAGCAGGUAGGGGCAGGGAUGAAGUUGGGACCUGGAGUCUUGAUUUAGAGGAUAUGAAGAUGGAGCUACUGGCGCGAAAAAAGAGGGAAGCUGCUCUAGAAGCAGCUUUGGCAGAGAAGGAGCUUCUUGAAGAGGAGUACAAGAAGAAGUUUGAUGAAGCAAAGAAAAAAGAGCUUUCUCUAGAAAAUGAUCUAGCAGGCAUGUGGGUUCUUGUUGCUAAGUUGAAGAGAGGGGCUUUCAGCAUAUCUGAUUUAAACGUUGAUGAUCGGUCUAUCAAUCUAGCUGACAUAACUAAUGAUGCAAAGGAAAACAAAGGUGACACAAAUGUAGCUUUAGUUGAGAAACAAGUGUCAGAUGAUACUGUGAAGCCAUUGACUGCAGAAGAAUAUAGAAGUCCAGAAUUUGAACCUCUUCUUGUUCGUCUCAAGGCUAAAAUUCAAGAGAUGAAGGAGAAGGAAACUGACCCCCUGAGUGAUAAAGAUGGCAAUUCCCAUGUCUGCAAAGUAUGUUUUGAAUCCGCAACUGCUGCAGUUUUGCUUCCUUGUCGGCAUUUUUGCUUGUGCAAGCCUUGCGCACUUGCCUGUUCGGAAUGCCCUCUGUGCCGCACACGAAUCGUAGACAGGAUAAUUACCUUCACAUAG